CUGCGGUCCGGCGUCAGUGGGUUAUCGUUCGCCUCCCUUCGGGGAAUUUCCCAUAGGCACAAACUUGACCGUACC
rnacentral:sRNA from 1 species